rnacentral:rRNA from 1 species
GUAGUAGGUAUGUUCUUGAAACUUAAAAAAUUUGGCGGUAUUUUAGUCUAUUCAGAGGAACUUGUCCUAUAAUUGAUAACCCGCGUUGGACCUUACUUAAGUUUGUUUACAGUUUAUAUACCGUCGUUAUCAGAAUAUUUUAUAAGAAUAAUAAUUUUCAAUAAAUUUAUAAUAAAUUUUAUUUCAGAUCAAGGUGUAGCUUAUAUUUAAGUAGAGAUGAGUUACAUUAAAGGUAUUUAUAUGGGUAUUAAUAUGAAAAAUUAAUUAAAAGUGGAUUUGGAAGUAAAAUUAUAAAGAU